CCCUUAGAUGCUCCGGGCCGCACGCGCGCUACACUGGUCGAUGCAACGAGUUUCUUUCCUUGGCCGACAGGCCUGGGCAAUCUUUGAACAUCGAUCGUGAUCGGGAUAGAUUCUUGUAAUUUUUGAUCUUAAACGAGGAAUUCCUAGUAAACGCAAGUCAUCAGCUUGCAUUGAUUACGUCCCUGCCCUUUGUACACACCGCCCGUCGCACCUACCGAUCGAAUGGUCCGGUGAAAUCUCCGGACUGGCGUGAGUCGGAGCAAUCUGACAAACGCCGGAAAGUUGAUUAAACCUUACCAUUUAGAGGAAGGUGAAGUCGUAACA
rnacentral:rRNA from 1 species